AUAAUACAACAAGCUAGUGUCAAGGUCAUAUUUACAAGUUUCUCAGUCCUGUUUUCAUUCAUCAGGACCAUGUCUCCUCAGAAGACCAUGACUUUCCUGGUUCCUAUACAGAGAACUAAUAUCCCAGCUGCUCCAAAUGCACCUGAAUGGGUACUAGAGAGACGAGGAAGCUAACUUGUGGCAGAUGGGACCAGACCAAAUGGAUGCCAUCAGACUUACAUCAGUAAGAAAGCAUUUUUUUUUUCCAGAGCUCUGUGGAAAUCCAUCUUCAAGGAAUUAGGCCCUUAAUCUGAAAAGGUGGGGUCACUCGAUGGUCUAUAUACGCAGAGCAAAGCUGUUUAUUCUUGUGCAGCCAGAGCCGAGUGUAUUAGUGUCCAUGUCAGCAGCAAGAGAAUCUAUGAAUUAACUGCUUUUUUUGUUUGUUUGUUUAUUUUAAGUCUUUAUUUAUGAUUCAGUGAGCUGUGGGAACUUAGUUUCUGAUGGCAAAUUGUAUGCUUUGAUAACAUUUUGUCUACAUGAUACUUUCUCCCAGUUUUGGGUUCUUCUGUAAGGCUUCUCUCUUAUUCCAUCCUGUCAGACUUAGACUUUGUGAAACUUGGAGCUUUUUUUUUAAUGAAUUAUGAUUGGAAGAUAUGUUUGUGGUGU